GACGAACGCUGGCGGCGUGCUUAACACAUGCAAGUCGAACGGAAAGGCCCUGCUUUUGUGGGGUGCUCGAGUGGCGAACGGGUGAGUAACACGUGAGUAACCUGCCCUUGACUUUGGGAUAACUUCAGGAAACUGGGGCUAAUACCGGAUAGGAGCUCCUGCUGCAUGGUGGGGGUUGGAAAGAUUCGGCGGUUGGGGAUGGACUCGCGGCCUAUCAGCUUGUUGGUGGGGUAGUGGCUUACCAAGGCUUUGACGGGUAGCCGGCCUGAGAGGGUGACCGGCCACAUUGGGACUGAGAUACGGCCCAGACUCCUACGGGAGGCAGCAGUGGGGAAUAUUGCACAAUGGGCGGAAGCCUGAUGCAGCAACGCCGCGUGCGGGAUGACGGCCUUCGGGUUGUAAACCGCUUUCGCCUGUGACGAAGCGUGAGUGACGGUAAUGGGUAAAGAAGCACCGGCUAACUACGUG
rnacentral:rRNA from 1 species